rnacentral:rRNA from 1 species
AACGAACGCUGGCGGCGUGCCUAACACAUGCAAGUCGAACGGGAUUAGGGGCUUGCUCCUAAUCUAGUGGCGCACGGGUGAGUAACGCGUAGAUAAUCUGCCUGAUGAUCUGGGAUAACAGUUCGAAAGGACUGCUAAUACCGGAUAAGCCCACGGGUUCUUUGGAAUCUGCGGGAAAAGGGGGGGACCUUUUGGCCUUCUGUCAUCAGAUGAGUCUGCGUACCAUUAGCUAGUUGGUAGGGUAAAGGCCUACCAAGGCGACGAUGGUUAGCUGGUCUGAGAGGAUGAUCAGCCACACUGGAACGGAGACACGGUCCAGACUCCUACGGGAGGCAGCAGUGGGGAAUUUUGCGCAAUGGGCGAAAGCCUGACGCAGCAACGCCGCGUGAGUGAUGAAGGCUUUCGGGUCGUAAAGCUCUGUCAGGGGGAAAGAAAUGUAUUGUGGCUAAUAUCCACGAUACUUGACGGUACCCCCAAAGGAAGCACCGGCUAACUCCGUGCCAGCAGCCGCAGUAAUAC